CUAUAAGAUCAUGACCUGAGCCGAAGUCAGACGCUAAACCGAGCCACCCAGGGUGAAUUCUGGAACACCGCCGUUCUGCUGAGACCGGUGACCUGCGGGCUGGCAGGGCGGCCUGCAGCGAAGCGCGUGGCAGAGGAAAGGAAUUGUGGCUGCUCUCCGAGCGUCAGCUUGGACACCGAAGCGCUGGCCGGCCGAAGCUCUCCAGAGGACUUCGUUCUGGACACAACGAACCCGUCUCGAAAUGAGAAACCCACCCACAGAAAGUCUGCACAGAGCUUGCGGCUCAGUCAGGACUCACCCGCCAGGCCCCGGAGAUGAGCCUUGACGUCCUGGUCAGCAUCGCCGCUGCGAUCUGAAACACAGUGGAAAGGGAAAAGUCACCUGGGUGAUGGAUCCGUACCUAGAAUAUGUACAGAAAGGGCAGAAGACACAGAAGACUUUUCAAAGGAAAACAAAUGGCUACUAAACUCACGGAAAGAUUUUCAUCCUCAUUACAAAUUGGGGAAAUGUAAAGUAAAACCAGCACAGAGAGCUGCCAUUCAGUCAGCAUGCUGGGAAAAAGGAGGACAAGAGUGAGUGUCACAGAGGCUGUGAAGCCCUGGGGACACACCGUCACCGGGAGCACAGAUACAAUUAUCUUCGUUCAUUCAUUCAUUGGGGAAUAUACAUAUACGUGGUGACACUGGGAGACAGAGGAGGGGAAAGGAUCAGCACGUUGGGAAUAAUGCUGACUCCUGGGCGGAGGUAAAGGGCAGGACCGUGCAAAGCACAGAGAAUGGGAAUGAUCUACUUCUAAUCUGGAUAAUGGGGACAGGAGUUCUGUUUUACUAUUUUUGUAUCUUGUGUUUUUUUGUAUUCAAUUGUAUGUUGAAAAUAUCUCAGAAAAAUAACCCUAAUCUCUUGGGAGCUGAAAGAUGUUUAAAAUACUUAUAUGCAACUCUUAAUAUAAUAUAAUUAAAUCGAAUCUCCAGGUAA